CCCACUGCUUAUUGAAAUAUGCCUGCAAAAUUUUCUUUCCCAGGCACAAGAAGUUAAGGACAGUUUCUGACCUCAAAUCAGAUUUUACCAUUUUAGGGAUGUAACCUUGAAUGGAUGGUGGUGUUUUAAUUUCUUCCGCUGAACAACUUCAGAAGAUGCAGAGUGAGUUUUGAUGGGAAAGAGACUCUUCAUGGGCUACUCUAGAACAAACAAUGGAAACGGAUCACAGGAAAGAAUGAAGGACAUGGUUCAUGUCUGAUUCAGGUGAUUUCUACAAACAGUUCCAGGAGCUUUCUCCAUUCUCCCAGUUGAGAUUGGCAUUAUGCUUAGAGAAGAAAAAGCGUCUCAAAAGAAAACUAGUCACUCUUGAGGUAGAAUUGCCUCACCUGAAGAGGGAGGAGGUAUUUUUCCUUUUCUCUGAGUCAAGAACUCAUGAUCACCAUCACCCAACCCUGCUCACACACACCCUGACCACCACGGGUCUCUAGGCACUUUAAAUUCUAUGAUUUAUAUGAACUCUUACAGGGACGCAGCUGUUCUCCUGGGCAUAUUCACAACACGUUUUUCCACCCACUCACCUCCCAAGGUGGGUUCUUAAGCAAGUAGCAAAAUGAGGUGUGGGCACUGACACAAAGACCAAUGAGGCAUUUUAAGAGAAGUUAAAUUCAGGAAGCUUUAGGGAAACAAACAAAAAUAAAUUUUAAGAAAUCUGUUUGCAUGGAAAGAUAAAACAAUAAUAGAAUGAGAGAGAGAGAGAGAGAGAGA
rnacentral:lncRNA from 1 species